CCCUUAGAUGUUCUGGGCCGCACACGCGCUACACUGAAGGAGGCAGCGUGUACUCCUGGAUCGAAAGAUUUGGGUAACCCGCGAAUCUCCUUCGUGCUAGGGAUUGAGGUUUGCAAUUAUCCUUCAUGAACGAGGAAUUCCCAGUAAGUGCAAGCCAUAAGCUUGCGCUGACUACGUCCCUGCCCUUUGUACACACCGCCCGUCGCUACUACCGAUUGAAUGAUUUAGUGAGGACUUCGGACUGGGACCGAUGCGGCUUUCGGGCUGCGUCGGUAUUCUGGAAAGAUGUCCAAACUGUAUCAUUUAGAGGAAGUAAAANUCGUAACA
rnacentral:rRNA from 1 species